GUAGGUGAACCUGCGGAAGGAUCAUUAUUAUUUGGAUAGGUUUGCUGCUAUAAGUCUUCUCCUUUCUGUUUCUGUCUUUUAGCAGUACAGCUUAUCCAAAUAAAGAAAGGAGCAAGAUAUCAUAUUUAAAACCCACUCUUAAAUAUUUAUUUGUAUUUUGAAUGUUAAAAAUAAAGAUCACUUUCAACAACGGAUCUCUUGGCUC
rnacentral:misc_RNA from 1 species